CAGUUUUUAAUGAUGACUUCAUAGUUCAUCUGAGUUGUCUUGAUGUAUAUCACUCAUGUCUUUCGCUCCUAUCUGAUGUCAAAA